GCUCAUUCUGAAAACGUAGUCGCGUGGACGUUACUGGAGACGGUUACUCACUGAAGUUAAGCAGGGCUGAGCCUGCUCAGUACCUGGAUGGGAGACCACAUGGGAAAACAAGGUUGCU
ensembl:rRNA 5S_rRNA 5S ribosomal RNA